rnacentral:rRNA from 1 species
CCUACGGGUGGCUGCAGUGGGGAAUAUUGCACAAUGGGGGGAACCCUGAUGCAGCGACGCCGCGUGAGUGAAGAAGUAUUUCGGUACGUAAAGCUCUAUCAGCAGGGAAGAAAAAAGGACGGUAUCUGAGGAAGAAUCUCCGGCUAACUACGUGCCAGCAGCCGCGGUAAUACGUAGGGGGCAAGCGUUAUCCGGAAUUACUGGGUGUAAAGGGAGCGUAGACGGAAAUGCAAGUCAGGAGUGGAAUGGGGCAGCUCAACGGCCGAACUGCUCUGGAAACUGUAUGGCUUGAGUGCAGGAGAGGUAAGCGGAAUUCCUGGUGUAGCGGUGAAAUGCGUAGAUAUCAGGAGGAACACCGGUGGCGAAGGCGGCUAACUGGACUGUAACUGACGUUGAGGCUCGAAAGCGUGGGGAGCAAACGGGAUUAGAUACCCGAGUAGUC